rnacentral:rRNA from 1 species
UACGUAGGGUGCGAGCGUUGUCCGGAAUUAUUGGGCGUAAAGGGCUCGUAGGCGGUCUGUCGCGUCGGGAGUGAAAACUCAGGGCUUAACCCUGAGCCUGCUUCCGAUACGGGCAGACUAGAGGUAUGCAGGGGAGAACGGAAUUCCUGGUGUAGCGGUGAAAUGCGCAGAUAUCAGGAGGAACACCGGUGGCGAAGGCGGUUCUCUGGGCAUUACCUGACGCUGAGGAGCGAAAGUGUGGGGGGCGAACAGG